CCGCGCUACGUCGGCGUGGAUUUCUUCGGCUGCAGGAGCGCGAACAGCAGGUAACGUUUCCCCCGACUCGGACCUCCUGUGCAGCUUCGCCCGGAUUCAUUUUGCACAUUUUUGUUUUUCUUAAUCACGGCGAGGUGAGAACGUGAGAGCGCCGAGGCGUUUUCAUUGGGGAGUGUUUGAAGAGUGACAUCAGACUUUUAACAUGAGUUCCAACUCGAAAAUCCUUCGUGAUGUCCGGUAAACAACUGGAAUCCCAACAUAUGCAAAAUCCAAUUGUGCUGGAGUUUGGUAUCAGUAGAACAUUCUGCUCUGCUUCCAACUCGUUUGGCUUUCAGAAGGUCUGCACACCAAUACACUGUCACAGUAUUAGAUGGAGACACUGGAUUCAUGGCACGAACAUCCCAAAUAUCCAAGUACACAGCGCUUAAUGUAGAUAAUCUGGAUCCCUCUAGACACAAAUAGCUUCUCCUCACUCUAAGUGAAGCGCCUGUGAUUUUGACGUUUCACAUGAAGUACGUAUUUAUAUUCCUUAUUUGGGCAACGAGGUUCCCUUGAGAAAAGACGGGAUUUAGGCCUUUUAGAUGUUAUGUAACCAACACAAACACUGCCUGUCACUCAUGUGGAGUCUUAAUGAAUAUUCAUGUUGGAAGAAAAAGGAGGAGGAGGAGGAGGAGAUACCGUCACUGCUGCCUCCCGUGGAGAUGUCCCUCCUCCAACGUGACGUCAUGAAGCUCCCGGGUGAUGUCGCUCCUCCAACGUGACGUCAUGAAGCUCCCUGGAAUGUCCCUCCUCCAACGUGACGUCAUGAAGCUCCCGUGGAGAUGUCCCUCCUCCACACGUGACGUCAUGAAGCUCCCGUGGAGAUGUCCCUCCUCCAACGUGACGUCAUGAAGCUCCCGUGGAGAUGUCCCUCCUCCAACGUGACGUCAUGAAGCUCCCGUGGAGAUGUCCCUCCUCCAACGUGACGUCAUGAAGCUCCCGUGGUGAUGUCGCUCCUCCAACGUGACGUCAUGAAGCUCCCGUGGUGAUGUCCCUCCUCCAACGUGACUUCAUGAAGCUCCCGUGGUGAUGUCCCUCCUCCAACGUGACUCAUGAAGCUCCCGUGGUGAUGUCCCUCCUCCAACGUGACGUCAUGAAGCUCCCGUGGUGAUGUCCCUCCUCAGCAGUCUCUCUGGCCUCUGGGGCGUUUUGAAGAGAAGCUCCAGGGCGCCCCUAGAGGACGUCCCCCCAGGAGCAGGGAGGCGUCUCAUCACGGCAUCUCCGCCUCACGCUGGAUGAUGUCACCGCUCCUCCGUCACCUCGCCGUGGUGCGUUCAGGGACAGUGGCUGCUGACUAACAGAAGUUAUCAUACCAGCUGGGUGUCAAAAACGCUCAAGUAAAAACCCUUUUCCUCUGAAAAGAACAUCAGCGCAUCAGACUCAGGUCAACGUGUCCUCCUCCUCCUCCACCUCCUCCUCCGUCAUCAUGUGACUUUAAUGUGCUCCAGCUGUGAGUGGCUCCUCCACUAUUCCACACUACUCCUCCACUCAAUUUGUUUGUUUCUUCUACGAUUUGUUUGACAAAAUACUUGUUUCCCUCUAAAUGUUCGUAUUAUCUCCCAUUAAUCACAUCUAUCUGGUGCCAUAAUAACGUAUAUUUUAUUAUAUUAUCAGUCAAAAGGGACGUUUUACUGCUGAGAUAUUACUUUUACUUUUGAUAUUUUAAGUGCAGUCAGCUGAAAAUAUACCUGAACUUGUAAAGAAAAGUACUUUUGUUCCGUGGUAUUGGUACUAGUACUUAAAGGUGGUUUAAAAACGACAUUGGGGGAAGUUGCUCUUCGUCACAGGACGUGACCUCUUCCUCCUCUUCGAUCUAAAGGCUCUCUGGGACCCGGUGACGCCGUGCUCUGACCCCUGUGUGGGCCCCGUCCCGCAGGUUGAGCCCCGCUGAGCUGAGAUCAGAUGUUAGUUCUUCAGUGCAGGGCGCUGACGAGUCGUAUUCAAAUAUUUAUACACAAACAACUUCCAUGUACAUACGUGUGUUUGGUUAUUGCCUCUUUGUUUGUACUCAUGUGUGUAAAAUCCUGUACAUUGAAAUUAAUGAAACUUGUUUUCUUGUUUUCUUAUUAAUAAAACCAUAACCUUUUUACCGUGUGUGUGUAUAUUAUUUCAUCUAAAAAGAAAAGGCAGGCAUGUCAGAAUGUGUCCUUCCCCACAAAUAAAGAGCUAAGGACAUUAUUAAACAAUGAUGAUUAUAAUAAUACUUUUUACACACGG
ensembl:lncRNA